AUGGUCAAUACGGCGAAAACCUAGCUUCGGGAAGUGGCGCUUUUAUGACGGCCGCUAAGGCCGUCGAGAUGUGGGUCGAUGAGAAACAGUACUAUGACAAUGACUCAAAUACUUGUGCACAAGGACGGGUGUGUGGACACUAUACUCAAGUGGUUUGGCGUAACUCGGUUCGUGUUGGAUGUGCUAGGGUUCAGUGUAACAAUGGAGGAUAUGUUGUCUCUUGCAACUAUGAUCCUCCAGGUAAUUAUAUAGGCCAAAGUCCAUACUAAUUGAAACGACGUAUGUUCAUUCCACGUUAGUAUGUAUGGUUGUUCUGCUUGAUAUCAAGAAAUUAAAUAAUUGCGCUAAAAAGCAACUUAAAGUCAAGUAUAUAGUAAUAGUACUAUAUUUGUAAUCUUCUGAAGUUGAUCUAUAAAAAGACCAAGUGGUCUUAAUUAAGG
rnacentral:lncRNA from 1 species